UACGUAGGGUGCAAGCGUUAAUCGGAAUUACUGGGCGUAAAGCGUGCGCAGGCGGCUUUGCAAGACAGAUGUGAAAUCCCCGGGCUUAACCUGGGAACUGCAUUUGUGACUGCAUGGCUGGAGUGCGGCAGAGGGGGAUGGAAUUCCGCGUGUAGCAGUGAAAUGCGUAGAUAUGCGGAGGAACACCGAUGGCGAAGGCAAUCCCCUGGGCCUGCACUGACGCUCAUGCACGAAAGCGUGGGGAGCAAACAGGAUUAGAUACCCUGGUAGUCCACGCCCUAAACGAUGUCAACUGGUUGUUGGACGGCUUGCUGUUCAGUAACGAAGCUAACGCGUGAAGUUGACCGCCUGGGGAGUACGGCCGCAAGGUUGAA
rnacentral:rRNA from 1 species